rnacentral:lncRNA from 1 species
CCCAGCUGUCCCUGAGGAGGGGAAGGAUGUCUGGUUGCAGAACAGCCACUGCUUCUUAAAAGUUAUUCAUGUGAGUAUCACAUCCUUAAUGUAUUUAAAGAGGAACCUCUCUAUUGUAUGUAAGCUGCUUUGGGAGCCUUUUGGAAUGAAGAGUGUGGGAUGAUGAUGAUGAUGACAACAGAAGAAGAAGAAGAAGAAGAAGAAGAAGAAGAAGAAGAAGAAGAAGCAGAAGAAGCAGAAGAAGAAGCUCAAUUUUGGUAUAAAAACUGCACACUUUGAAUUACAGAAUUCUGAAUCCAGGAAUUUAUUUCGAGUACAAAAAUUGAAUAGAGACACACAAGAAUCCACCCCUGGUUACCCAUCCCUCAGCUUUCCUCAUUUCAGCAGUUUAGUGUAAUUUUGUUCCUGCUAUUUUAAACAAUUAGGGUCAGAGAUCUUUGCUGAUAUACUGCCAAUCAUCCCAGAGGUGGGCAGAAAGCAGAUCAUAAUCUACUGGCAGUAUAUCAGCCAGUAGAUUAUGAUCUGCUUUCUGCCCACCUCUGGGACAGAGGAUACUCUUCUGAGAUUCUACAGCAGGGUCAGGGAUUAAGAUCAAGCUGGCAGGCUGGAUCUUGAGCUCCCUUUUUUGACUCGUGGCCCACUUAAGUAGGGAUGCCCACCUAUCAAUCUCCUGACAUCACUAUGGGGUUCCAUAUUCCUCUUCUAAAUUAUAACCCAAAGUACAGUGUGACUUACAUAAAAAUAUCAUAAUUUUUCAGUCUUCCCCUGUGAAACUCUAGGACUGUUUUUGUUUGUUUGUUUGUUUGUUUUGUCAGGAUGAUUGACAGGAUGCUUAGGGCACUGUCACUGAUGCUUAGGACAUUUUUGGAUAGAUGGUCUAUCCCUUAUAAUGCCAUUACUACCCUUGUGUUGAUAAGUCAGUUCCUGUGACACUAACUAUGGAAAUGGUCAUGCGACUACAAUUCUCAUAUUCUUUACAGUAGCCCAAUAGAGGCCCAGCCAUGCAGACAUAGAUCUGUACUGUUUGCAUGGAAAAAGGAAAAGCAAAGUUUCUGGUGCCCUCCUCCUCCAUUAGGGGAAGCAAUAAGAAGCAAUAUGUUUUGUUGUUUUCUUAUUUGGAGCAGACAUUAUGCCAUCUAUUAAGAUAACUGGCAUUUCAACAGAACCACCAGUUCACUUACAAUUUGAGAAAGCUUCUUGUGUGCUUUCACCAUUAAUAAAAGGAGCACUGCUUAUUAACGUUGUUGGAUGCAUUUCACCUUUCCUACCUUCUUCCAUCUUGCCCCUCCAAGGAGUAAGUGAAAGCUCACAGAAUACUUUCCCAGUAUUCCCCCCCCCCCAGGAAGUAAUACAUUGCAACCAUAGGGGGCAAUGCAAGCUUAUUGGUGGAGCUCCAGGCUGCAUGCACACGUAGGUGUCAGCUGUACACACAGGAUUACCAGGCUACUGUAUGCAGAGAAUGUAUUCCUCUUGGUUUACAUAAACUAACUUAUGAUUAAAAGUAAAGCUGUAUUGUGCCUUUGCCUCCGAAAGUUCAGUUUCUCACUUGUCUUUAGUCUUCUUGAGUUGAUAUGAAGAAGGCAGCAAUUUAUUUUGCUCUGAUCAUUUACAGUGCUGCACACAAAGCAAGCGAACAUGUAAUUUUGAUGGCGUCAAAGUUGAAACAGGCUGGUGUUAGUAUGAGCCUCUUGGUGUGCGCUGACUACAAUCUGUCAGUAUUUCUGACAUAAUUUAAUUUCUGCAAGUGCAUUUCUCCCUGACAUAAUUUAUACACCCUAAUAUAAAUCCCAAGUGUUGAAAUCGAACUUGUACCUAAAUUGUAUUGGAAUUUUCAUGGUAUCUAUUUAUUACAAAAAAAAGCAACAACACUGAAUAAAAUGUAAUUGUCAUAACAAUAAAACUGUAUUUAUACAUUACGUUAUUCAGUUGUAUUUACUUUCGCUGAUUGGAAAGCUCUUUACAGGAAAAGAGCAGAGAAUGAAAAUAAUGAUAAUUUCCAUAUCCUCCAGUAUAAUGCAUGACUACGAGUGUAGGUUUCCCUGCCCCCUCUUCUGUAAUACAAGAUUAUUUAGGAGAAACACAACUGAACUACUAUUAACAUGAUUAGAGGAGCUGCUCUUACAGCCUAUUUUCCCUUAUUUUCAUUUUGUUUCAUUGUAAAACAUGUUUUAGACAAUUACUAUUUACCAGGGAUUUCUUGGGGGGGGGGGAAUGUAAUGUUCAACCUGAAUGUUAAAAUGCACUCUCUGUUUUGAAGCUGAUAGAAAUAUCAUUUAAAUUGAACUCUUCAUGCAAAAGUACAGCAGAUAAAUCACUUAGCAAAUAAACACUCCAUCAGUUGCAGAUUGGAAGUAUCAAGCCUUCUUGUGUGGUAUUUUUUGAUAGGUAUAUGAUGUUUAGGACCAAUCUAUGACUUUAAAAUAUUAGCAGGAAUCCCAAUUGUUGAGAAUCAAGAGGGGAGAGAUAUCUGCAGAAGUAGAAAGCAAAAGGGGGGGGUACCUAAAGGAGCAACACUAAGAACACCAAGUAUAAUCCAGAUACUCCAAGACUGAGAAUGCUAAAUGGCCACAGAAUGCUGAGGGGGAGAAACACAAUGGGAAAUCCUAAAUGAAGGCAUGACUGUCUGGCUGUCUGGAACAUCAAACAGAAAUGCUCCAUGCUACAAAAGGUUUUGGGUUCAACUUUUGAGCUCUAAAACGCAGGUGCUAGUGGAGUCUAGAACUGUUUAGCUCUGUGUUUCAUGUGGAGAGCGAAGCAACUCUCUGGCUCACCUGUGCAGGCACUUCUUCCUGGGAGUAAGGAGUAAUGGAAACUUCCUAUCUUACUGGUGCCUUUUUUGGAACACCACCGUCUACCUUUGUUCUGGUAUGCCUCUGGGUUUCUAGUCAGUCUUUGAAACCAAUUCUUGGCCUGUUCUCCAGUCCCGCAUCUGGUUUUGUCCUCUCCUCCUGCUUUGCCUUCAGUCCUGACUCCUGGCUUUUUCUCCACUCUUGCCCUCUUGUUUUUACUCUUGACAGCCCGGCAACCCAGACUCCUGGUUCACUCCAGAGAUUGGUGCCAAAGGAUUAGCUCUGUAGCGGGUUGGUGGGUACAACUAAGUGCCUGCAAAUCCUUUCCACAAUAGGCUUCUUAGUGCUUUCUGAAGCAUAGUUCUGCAGUCACCUAGAAGUGAAAAAGCAAACAAACACUGGUUCUGUUUCAACCACAAAUAUAGCACAAUAUGCUGCAUAACAAUUCUGUAAUGCCCAUCCCUAUGGGGAAGUUUGUUAGUCUGUUUGCUCAAAAGUAAGUACUGUUUGAGUCUAGAAAAUGUGCUUAGGAAUCCAACAGUUUCCCCAUUUGGUGUGGUUUAAAGCAGUUCCUACUUCUCCUGGCCACAGAUGAGAUCUGUCCAUUAAGUGAUCAUUUUCUGUUCCUUCUUGCCUCACAUGCAUGAUUAAAAAACACAGGAAAACAUUCUUGGAUCAAAACAAGUGACAACAUUAUUGUUUAUAUAUGCAAGUUAAUUUGGCUCAGGCAUUGGGUGAUUUCCCAUUCAGUUAGCCCAUAUGGCGGCUGUUGACCAGGGAGUUGAUUCUGGGUAGGAUUGUCCUGUAACUUACAUCAUAAAGGAGCAGCCGACUUAGGGAGUGUGUAUGAACAAAAACAUCUCCCCUAGGUGAACAUACUGUUAGUCAUUGCUUUACUCUCUCUUUUCUUACUGAUCAAUCGAACUAACAAGAUUGUGUGAAGUAAAGAAUGGAAGUUACCCUUCUCUUAGCACUCAGAUUGUAAACAACAACACUCCAAAAUAACCAUUCAAAACUAAACAUGUUAGAAUGAAAACCAUAGGAACAAAUGACUCGACUGAACCUAAACCACUGAACUGCUUAGCAUCCAGUAAAAGCCCAUGCUGCAGAUAAAUUAAAAUGAUGACUGAAUGGGCAACCUUGCAUUAAAAAGCAUGUACAAGGAUUGCCUCUUUCCUUGAGCUGGUGCCCACUUAAUCACAGUCCCUUAAUUGGUCACAAUUGAUAUCACAAAAGCGCCAAUCCACAAUAGGACCCUUUAGUAAACCUGAGUCACUGAAAAACACCCAGAAGCAGGAUAAAAAUGCUUGUUAAUAUAGUGCAACAUCCCCCAUUAUAGCCCCACAGCUCCCACCCCCACAUAGCUAGACUUGCAAAGCUUGGGGGUGCCGCAGAAUCCCUACAAAAUCCCCACAGCCCACCUUACGACAAAUGUGCAGGUCUAAAAACUGUUGACAUUAGAGGGAAUGUAAAGGUAAAGGUACCCCUGCCCGUACGGGCCAGUCUUGACAGACUCUAGGGUUGUGCGCUCAUCUCACUCUAGAGGCCGGGAGCUGGCGCCGUCCGAAGACACUUCCGGGUCAUGUGGCCAGCGUGACGAAGCUGCACUGGUGAGCCAGCACCAGUGCCGCACACGGAAACGCCGUUUACCUUCCCGCUAUAAAGUGGUACCUAUUUAUCUACUUGCACUUAAGAGUGCUUUCGAACUGCUAGGUGGGCAGGAGCUGGGACCGAACGACGGGAGCUCACCCUGUCGCGGGGAUUCGAACCGCCGACCUUACAAUCAGCAAGUCCUAGGCACUGAGGUUUUACCCACAGCGCCACCCGCGUCCCUUAGAGGGAAUGAGGGAGGAAGAAAAACAAAGAACAAAACUAGAACCAUCCAAGUGCAACAUUUUGAUUGGUUUUACUUAUUUUACUUAUUUAUACAAUUUCACUAUUGCAAAAAAGGAAGGAAGGAAGGAAGGAAGGAAGGAAGGAAGGAAGGAAGGAAGGAAGGCAGGCUCCAGUAUUUAUUGUUAUUAAGGACCAAAAUGCCAGAAAUUAGCCUGCUGAAUUAAAAGCUGCAUUGCACUGAAGAACAUGCACUUAGAGAUACAGAAGAUGAGCAAGCUGAGCAGUGAAUACUUUGCUUGUCUUGGGUCCAUAAGAGACACUCAUGGGCAGUACAAGGCAGAUGUCUUUAUGAGGGUCAACGAAGCACCUUGCUGUUCAUAAAUGAUCCAGAGCAUAGCAAUUGCCGAUUAGAUGUGUGUAUGUGUGUUUUGUGUCCAGCUGGUUAAAAACUUAAAUCUUAUCUUGUUGAAGCAAGUUAUUUCUUCUCUAUACUUUGCAUUGUGAUAUGGCUAUUAGUAAAAAAGACCUUUAGAAGGAGAAACACCAUUCUCUCUGAAUUCAUAGACACACUGAAAUCAUUCUGAUAAACAUAUCUUAGCUUAUUAAACCAAAGUAUAAGCAGUCAUUUUGUUUGUGUGUAGAGCCCCUUCAUUCCUCCUUUAGUCUGAACUGAGAUAAUAUGGUGACAUGCCCUUGAACGACUCAUAGGAUUAGACCAUCUUCAAGCCCUUGUUUAAUGUUCCAGCUGUUUCUAAAGUUUACAACCGUAGUUCCCAAAUUCCGAUGAUAACCUGGUACAGUAGAAUUAAAUAUAUGGCUACUGUAUAAUCAUGCAUUUUGGGGGAGUAACCAGAUGAGCAGAGCAUAAUGAAACACUACCCUUAUUUAAUGGAAAUUGGCAAAAUAUUUGACUAUGUUAUAUAUUGGUUUGUUUUGAUCAUGCAGGUUCUGGCUUUCAUCAGGAAUAUGCUGACUGGAAAUGGCAGAAUAGCAGGUAGGGGAUACUUCCUUUCAUAUACUCUGUGGAGGAGGAGAUUUGAGCACAAGAGAUUGUAUACAUCAUAGAAGAAAGUUAGUGGACAUUGAUCAAUAUUGUGUUCAGUAUAUCCAGGGCUUUUUUUCAGCCGGAGUUCACCGGAGCUCAGCUCCGGCACCUCUCAGGUGGGUGCCAUUGCCAUCUAAGAGAACAAGGGAGAGGCACAUGGUGAGCUCUGGCACCUCUUUUCCUAGAAAAACAGCACUGGUUAUGUCUUUUAUAGCACAGAAACCAUUUCCAUGGAAGCUUUGUGAAUAUUAAAGCAUACGCUUUAGAAAUCCAUUAUAUUUGUCACCUUUUCGCUGUAUUGUGGGUAAGGUUUGCUUCAAUGCAGAUGAGGAACACAAGUGCCAACUGACAAUAUGAAGACGCAUUUCACUCCUAGAGACUGAGAAUAUGUCACAGUAUUCUUAAAAUGAUAUCUUUUCAAAGGCUUAAAGCUGGACACUUCACAUCACAAGGGGAUAUUCAAUAUUUCAAAAACUUAUAUUGGGCAAAUUUUCCUAUGCCAUUCUGCCCUAACAAAAUCCAUUUCAUGUUUUUCUAAUGAUUACUAAGGCAAGAGAUAACGUAUUUUGUAUGAUUGCUGUGGCUGACAUAAAAAUUAGAAUUCGUUACCUUUCAGAGUGUAGUAAUAAAGGGGCAAGGGGCAAGGCACUUCAUAGUGCUUUUACUUUUUAGCCUUAUGAAAAUCUAUGUGCUUCAACAGCAAUAUCCAUAUGCAGUGUAAUAUAUGUCUGUUAGCAAAUACAGCUAAAAAAGCUGCCUCCUGGGGAAAAAACCAUUUUUGAAAAGACCUGCUCUAAAAUCAAAAUUGAAUUAUCUUGGUCAAUAUUUUUUGCUUUUAAUUUUAAUGGCAAAUAUUAAUAGAGCCCUCUAAAUAAAUAAAUAAAUAAAUGAAAAGCCGGGGACAAACUGAUCCCCCUCAUCCCCCAUCUUUUGUUGUUGCAGCGCUGUUUGUAUUUACAUCCAGUCAUUUAUUGCCCAUUAAAGAAGUAAUGCUAUGUUAAUGUAAGGGAAAAAAUCAAUGCUACUCAGAUCAGUAGCUGUGGGGAAACAGUGCAGCAGCUGGUUUGCAAACAGCAAGCCCACAUAGAUCAAUGAAAUUACAAGCUAAAUCUGCUGAUGCUCACAAACCGCUCCAGCAUUGUGAAGUCUAACCUUUCUCAAGUUCAAGAUCUCUGGCAAGCCAGCAAUUGCUAAAUGAAAAGGAGGGUGGGGAGGAGAGAGAAAGGAAAAGAAAGAGAACAUAUCAGUGGACUUGUUUGGAAUUUUCAGCAUCAUAUGUAAUAUUCCACUUUUGAAGUUAUCAGUAUAACUGCACGUUUGUAACAGAUAUAAAAGCCUCUGUAAUCUCUAAGUGAGCAAUGCUGCAAUCUGCACACUUGGGAGAUUUUCUUUUCAAAAAAUGUUCAAAUCUGUCACAUAUUACCUUGAACUGUAACACUGGAGGGGUAGAGAGCACUUCUGUAAUGUGUUUCGUAAUGUGAAUUCCAGGAAAUAAUUUAUAAAUGAACAACAGCAGGACUUCUGGGAUGUGCUAACGGCCUUUUGUUUCAUGCCUUGAAUGGUUGCCUUAAAAAUAUUCCUUUAACUUUGUAUAAUUAAAUCUGUACAUAUUGCAAGAUAGAGUCAUGUUGAUCCUUUACACACAUUUGCCACACAGGAAAACAACCACCAUGGAAACAGUAAGAAUGCAAUCCUAGAGAAGUCUGCUCAGAUAUAACCCCCAUGGAGUUUAAUGGGGCUUACUCACAG